UCUCUUAAUUUCUCAUCUUCACUAUGACUCUGUGAUAUGGGUUUCUGUUUACAGAUGGGAAAAUAGAGACUUGUUGGGGAGAGGUGUUAAUAUCACUCAGCUGCCUGUGCCAGAGCAAGAAAAGGAAUCCUUGUGUGUCUGACACCAAAGAUCAGGACUGACUGCAUCAGAAUGGCAGUUCAAAAUGGCUGAAUUACCUCCCUGCUAUAGUUGGGAAGAUAGGAAAUUGUGCUCAUGCAGCCAUCAAGCCUUCCAAUUAUAUUUUUUCACUUCAUUCCACAAGAAAAAAGAAAAAAAAAAAUCCAGUCAGCCUUGAGCUCUCUUGGAAAAAUCUUUGAACUGUGGAUUUUACAUUAAAGCUACAUCUUGUAACUGAAGGGUGGGGCAAUGGGAGAGGAAGGAGUGAGUGAAGAUGCAAAGGUUUGUUAAAAUGGGAUCAUGUGACCAUCUGUUUGCCUGCAAGGUGCUGCUUGAACUUUACCAGAGGAGGAAGUGGUCAGCCCCUACGUCAUGCUCCUCAAAAUGCUUCUUAGAAAGAUGCUUGACUCCUGUGCCAGUAAAGCCACCGAGGAACUUAAACAAACUGGUUUGGGCCUCACGGAGGAAGUAAUCUGCACUGUCAAGAAAGAGAGAGAAUUGGC